rnacentral:misc_RNA from 1 species
GGAAACUCUGCCUGCAAACUUAACAACAAAAAACAAAGUUCAUGUUGCACAUUUUCAAAACCUUAAACUUUACACAAAGUUGGUGGCAUAUUUCUGAAAACCUUAAGCUUAAAACACUUUAAUAAAAAGCAGAAAGCAAGAUCUAACAAGUGCGGUAGGCAUAUUAGAUAAGGAAAAAAUGAAAAAGUGGACUAUCCAAGAAAUGUAAAUGAUAGACACAAGACACAAUUUCAUUGGUAAACAAACCUCAAAUAUAAAACAACUCAAUGAGGUACAUGCCUAGAAAAGAAUGUCCUAACAUUUGCUAUAUAGAUCCUGAAUCAGCAUGUGCAAAACUUAUGCAUAAUUUCAAGAGGGAAAUAGGCAAUUUCCUAAGCACUCCAUAUGAGAAUUCCUUUAUCCAAGCAUUACCUCAUGCUAAAAUAACAUUGCAAAACUCAUUACCUCGCGCUAAAAUAACAUUGCAAAACUCAUUACCUCGCGCUAAAAUAACAUUGCAAAACUCAGAAUUUAAGUGAUGUAGAACACAAAGAACACUC